UACAGAGGUCUCAAGCGUUGUUCGGAUUCAUUGGGCGUAAAGGGUGCGUAGGUGGCGCCGUAAGUCGGGUGUGAAAUUUCGGAGCUUAACUCCGAAACUGCAUUUGAUACUGGCGUGCUUGAGGACUGGAGAGGAGACUGGAAUUCACGGUGUAGCAGUGAAAUGCGUAGAGAUCGUGAGGAAGACCAGUGGCGAAGGCGGGUCUCUGGACAGUUCCUGACACUGAGGCACGAAGGCCAGGGGAGCAAACCGGAUUAGAACU
rnacentral:rRNA from 1 species